CGCGUUUUUCGCGGCGGCGGAGCUCGACCGCAAGCUGAAGUAGGCACCAAGGUGCCAACUCGGGUGCUGGUCGAGUACAUCGACGAGUACCGCGACCGGUUCGGGGUCGAGCCGAUCUGCACGGUCCUGACGGGGGCCGGCACGCAGAUCGCCCCG
rfam:Terrabacter sp. 28 contig7, whole genome shotgun sequence.